AGUUGGUCGGUUGAAGGAUGGUCUAAACUGUUGGUUUUCGACCACUACAACCCGGGUUCGAUUCCCGCAUUGACAC
rnacentral:tRNA from 1 species